UGGGGAGAGGGAGGGAGGGCUAGUGUCCAGAUUUUUGCACACAGGAGCAGGCUGCCUCUUCAUCUGUCUUGCAGCCUCCACAAGCAAAGGUGGCCAAUAUGGGGACCAGAAGGAAACAAAGAAAGAAAAUGCAGUGGACUCCCUCAACAUGAGCAGGUAGUGAGCUGCUAGAUACUUUGGAGGCUCCCCAAGCUCCGGGUGUUCACCAGUCCCCUGAGAAUCUCAUCAAGAUAUAGGUGUUGAUUCAGGAGAUAUAGGGUGGUGCAAGAAGAAUCUGGACCACAAUAAGAAGAAAGGUUAAAGCUCAUUCGAUCUGCACCCUAACGCUGCCCAGGGAGUACCAUGGGCUCUCUUUAUGGGCAGGAAAGCCAAGGCUCCAUGAGUUCCUGAAGCUUCCCUGAAGAGCCCCAUUAAGGAGAGCUGAACUGGGCUGACUGCAAGGUCCUGUUUCCUGCCCUCCUCCCUGUGGGAGUAAAUGGCCUGGUCCCAGUCAUCCCCCUUUCUCCAGGUCUGCCCCGGGUUCCAGCCCUCCAGGCUUAUAGAUUCAGAGCCUCCUGAGAUUGGCUGGUCUCCAGGCUGGAGCUUCUGAGCUUGCUUGCUGCAGCAUCUAAAGAUAGUUUACCUCACAGGAAACCAGACACUAUUGGCUAACUUUGCAAAUAAAGAUGCCCUCAGAGAGAGGGAAAGGGAAAUACUGGCCCCUGGCAGAGUCUACAUAGGACAGGGUAGCUGACUGGCACAUCCUGAGGUUCUCUUUCCCAGUGGGUCAAGCAGGCACCCAUAGACCUCUCUGGAUUCAAGGGCCCCUGGCCUGUGACCAUAAAAGACAACUGUGUGCCCUGUAAGCUCCGCCAGGAACAGGAGAUGCUGUCACCAUUAGGUCCUGCCCUGGUCCUGCCCUGGUCCUGCCCCAGCGGGAUUCUGGAGGUCCUGAAGGAUGAGUGGCAUCGGCGCAAGGAAUGAGACAAGGAGUCGUUCCGUUGGAGCAAUCUCCAGAGAGAGAGCAGCUUUCUCUGGGUCAUCUUUUAUUACAAUUUUUCUCAUCAUUAUGGAUUCAGAAUCAUUAAUAGAAUACAUCAUUGAUGUUACAAUUUCCAGAUUUUCCCAACAUGUGACAUUCCCUUUGCAAUCAUUAUGGGUAUAGAAAAAUGCGUUAUUAAUUUACAUUUUCCCAGGAUGCAACAUUUCCUUAGCAAUCAUUAGGAGUACAAAAUCAUUAAUAAAAGCGUCACUAAUUUGCAUUUUUCAGAUUUUUCCAAGAUGUACUAUUUUCUUAUUAACAGAUGCCAAACUACGUAACCAGACUCUAAGUCUCCCAACCUAUCAUUAACCUUUAAGUUUUAAGUUUAUUUCUAAUCGAAGAGCCCCAUCUAAAGAAGUCCCCUUAAAUCUUCUACUUAAAAUAUCCUAAAGUCUAUAAACCAUUCUUAAAGCAUCUUAAGGACCCAUACAACUAAAAACUUAAGAAUUCUAAACUUAAGAAACUAAAUAAAAUAAUAUUUCUAACAUUAUUCUAAAACUGUGUCUUAUAAUGCUACUUUAAUUAAUUCCUAUAUUUAUUCUCAUAAAAUGGGUUGAGCUGCUUUCUCAAAGAGUUUCUUUGUUUCUUAGUCAAGGUACACUAGUUCUUACAUCUUUGUAAUCUCCCUCACUGAAAGGCAAGUUUUGAACAUCAGUCCACUUACUGCCAAUAUUAACUAUGCUCAUCAUAAGUCCCUAUGUGAGGUAAAAGAGGAUUUAUAUAAAAGGGGGGGAAUGUAUCUUUACUAGCCUUAAGUUUCCUAAGUGUAUAACAUAACUUUCCCUUAAUCAAAUAAAACUACAUAUGGUGAGCUUUGUGCAAUAAACAUACUAAUUAGGCUUUCUAAGAGGCCGGAGAUAUGGGCUUGGGUUCUUAGUUGAUAUAAUCAACGUGGUGCCUAAAGUUCUCAUGACCUUUUGGGGAAUGAAUGUUGUUCAUUAUCAGUUUUAUCCUCAAUGUACUGAGAUAGUAGAACAGCCUUCUAUUUUGUCCUCGAUAUGCUGAGAAGUAGUAGAACAGCCUUCAAGGCAUGGACUAGCCAUCUGAAAUUUAAUUAGGUUUAGCAAUAAGCAUACUCAUGCUUCCUGUCAGGAAUAGGAGCAUAAAAAUAAAAAGUCCCAAUGACAUCAAAAAGGGUCUCAUGGUUUCGGUUUCCCACCUGUGAGGCUUUGCCAGCACUUAUCCUCACUGUGACCUUGUCAAGACAGUGGGAGGGGGAGCACCUUCACCAAUUCUCCCUUUUUUUAUUUUUAAAUUUUUUUUUUAAUUUUUUAUUGUUGGUUGUUCAAAACAUUACAAAUUUCUUGACAUAUCAUAUUCCACACUUUGAUUCAAGUGGGUUAUGAACUCCCACCUUCACCAGAUGGGCUGAACGAAUUCCAUGGCUCAGCAACUUGAAGAGGACUGGAAGGGCAAGAAUAAGGACAAGAAUAAUUAAAACACUUACACCACUAUUGAUUAAAAUAGAAAAUAAGGUUUUGCUGGAGACUGAAGAAUUCAAUUUGGAAACAAAAGUAUCAGCUAACUCUGGAACGGAUGUUUCUGAAAUAUGUGCUUGACUACUGUCUUUUAUCUUUUCUUGUAAUUCCUCUAUACCUAGGGUUAAAUUAGUAUCUCUCCAUAAUCCUCAUAAAUGACAUUGUAUUUGAAACCAUGUUUCUUCAGAAUAGUUGUAUGUGUGGGGAGUAACACAAAUCCAUUUAAACUGAGAAUGAUAUCUAGUUGUCAUUCGAGUUUUUAUGUUUUGAAUUUGAUUGCCAAUAUAAAGGAUAGCUUCUUCUAAAGCAUUAACUCUUGCUUCUAACUUUCUAUCUAUAUGUUCUUGGAUCAUAAGUGCAGUAGAAAUAUUUUGUGACAACUCAUUUACAGGAUGAGCAGUAUGAACUUCUUUAACUAGUGCGGCAGUGGAAGCAACUAUGGACCCUAUUAUACCAAUUAAUGCUGAGAUUCCUAAAAUUAAGGCAGCUACAAAACAUUUAGGUCUAAUUAGAGCUUGAUUAACUAAAUCUGAUACUCGUAACCCAGGAUCAUCAUGCCAAGAAGAAUCUAAUUUAACAGGCAACAUAAGAAGGUUGAUGUACAAUUAAAAUAUGAUUGGGUGCUGAUAUACUAGGAUCAGUACAAUUUGUUAAUGUACAGCCUUCACAAACAACAUCAUAAGUUUCCUCUUCUAAUUUUGAGAUCUGUAAAAUUCCUUGGUCUCUAAAUAAUAUUGCAUUGGGAGAUCCCACACAAGCCGUAACAAAAUGAUGCUCAUAUACUCAUAUACAUAUCUAUAGGUGCUAUACAUCUAUAGAUAUGUAUUAUACCUAAAGAAGCCAAUAACUUAUAAAGUUCUGUAUAGACCUGAUAAUGUUAUUUGAUUUUAGUAAAAUAUAGAGGAGUUGACCCAUCCAGCUGAGUACCAUCUAUUCAUAGGCUCCACUGCAGACCUCAUAGCAGUUUGUCCUUGAGGAAUAUUCCAAGGAUUUGAUGACAAAAAUCUACGAUGAUCAUAGUCAAGUUUAAAAAUAGAAAAAUCAUAUAUUGGCAAGGAAGAAUUUUUUGGAAGAAUUUUGGAAAGAAUGUAUGUUUCAGAAAACAUACAUUUAUGCCAAGAUGGAAAUCCAAAUUGUCUAUCUACCCCUACCCAUGAAUAAUCAAGAUGGGACUCAGCUUUUAAACAGUCUUGGAUCAUAGGAGGAGGCCUUUCUGAGGGUAAAAGAUCUUUAAAAUCAGGAAAACCUAAAGCUAAAAUAGAAAGUACUCAAAGAUCCUUCACACCUCUUUCCUCAUUUGGGGAAUUUGUUUUUAAAAAGUUCUAAAAUAAAGUUGUAAACAGACUACAGUUUCAGUAACACUAUAUAUACUAAAACAAAGAGGAGGUAAAUGACUGUGACCCUUAAAACUGAAAUUAUAGGUUGAUAUAGGAGUAAUAAAAGAAUUAGAUUCACCGCCCAAGAGAUCAGUAUCAUUGGUAAAUACCCUAAUAUUUUCUUUUCCCCAGGUACAUAGGUGGGUCAGGAUAAUAUGCCCCAAAAUAUUCAGAAGAUACAUUUGCUACUUGACAGGCAAGAAUGGCUAACAUAGCAAUAUACAUAUUUUCUGGCAUAUAGGAAUUUGACUAAGAAGAAAUAAGUACUUGAGCUUGAUAAGUCUGUUGUUUUAUCUGUCCCCAAGUCGGUGGUUUUGCGAGUCUUGUAGAAGAUGCUUGUCUAGGUGAGGGUUGAGAACUGUUGAAGUUCAACUGAGAAAAGGAUAGAGUCAAAGUAGUUGUCAGAUCCUCCUCAGGCACCAUGGUCAAUUGUGGGAAGUAUUGGAGAUCAGGAGGGCACGAUCUCUUCUGUUUCCUGUUCCGAAGGCUGGACAUUGGGUCGAAUCAGUCUAUCAGGAAUCCAAAUAGGAGAAUCCGCGUCCUGUGGGAAGACACAAGCAUACCCUCGCCCCCAAGUUAAUAAUACAUCAAGUCCUUUCCAUUUACCCAUCAAGAGAUCUUUCCAUUUCACUAAGGGUUUUGCUGAUAUUUUUUUCACUUUCCCAAUGUCUUAGCAUGGGAGUUAUUGCGACUUUAUAGUCACAAUUAAGGCGGUUUAAUCACAAACAAGGCAUGUUGUAGAACAUGACGAGGAGAACUAUAUUCAUAUUCUCCUUCUUGAAGUUUAGUAAUUGGAGCCUUUAGUGUUUGAUGAGCUCUCUCAACUGGAGCUUGUCCUUGAGGGUUAUAGGGAAUUCCCAUAAAAUGAGAGAUUUUUGAACAUGUCACAAAAAUUUUUAAAAGCAUUUGAAGUAUAAGCUGGUGCAUUAUCUGUUUUUAGUGCUAGGCGUCCCCAAAUAUGAGAAACAAAUAAGCAGAUGUUGGACCACAUCUUUAUAUGCUUCCCAGUUCUUGCUGAGGCAAUAAUCACAUGGGAAAAGGUAUCAACAAUGACAUGAACGUUAUCCAAUUUUCCAAAUGGAGGAAUAUGAGUAACAUCCAUUUGCCAUAAAUCAUUAGGUCUUAAACCCUGAGGAUUAACCCCCAUGGAUAGAGUUGGGAAUAAUGUUGGGCAGGUUUGACAAUUUCUAACAAUAGUUCUAGCUGAUUCCCUAGGAUAUGAAAUUGCUGUCGAAGGGCAGAGGGAUUUUGAUGAUGUAAAGCACGACCAGCUGUAGUUUCUUGAGGAGUAAGAAUUUGGGGUUUAGUUAAUGAAUUUGUCAAAGCAUUACCUUGUAACAGUUCUCCUGGCAAGUUAGAAUGUCCUCGAAUAUGUCCUAUAAAAUAAGGAUGUUGUCCUUCUAGGAUCAACUUUUGUAAAGAAUUAAGAUAAUGAAAAAUUGUAGUCUUGUGCUGAGGAAGAGAAGCUGUUUCUAGAUGAGGAAAAAAUUCACAAUAUGCUGAGAAUUAGUAUACAAAUUAAACAUUUGAUCUUUUAACUGGGUAAAAGCCAUAAUUACAGUUACCAUUUCUGCCCUCUGAGCAGAGGUUUCCUCUGUCUGUUGAACAUAAGUUUUAUCAUUAAUAACUAAAGAUGCUCGUCCAUUUGAGGAACCAUCAGUGAAAACUAAGGCUGCAGUUGAGAUAAGGGCUCAGAAGAGAACAAUUUUGGAAAAAUGAUAGGAUGGUUCUUAACCAGGUAUAACAAAGGAUGAGAUGGCAGAUGAAAUUUAAUGUGACCAUAAUAUCCCUGUAGGCUAUUUGCUAGUCUUCAGAAUGUUCCAUAAGCAUAUUUAGUUGAUCUCUAGAGUAAGGAACCACCAAAUUAUGCAUUUCUUUCCCAAAUAACUCUCUACUUGUAUGCCUUCCCAUUAUUAUUAAUAAUGCAACCACAAUAGGAUAUGAGCAGAUAACCUUCUUAGAGGUAACUGGCAUAUGCAUCCAUUCUAAAGGACCUGACUGACACAAAACUCCUGUGGGUAUAUGAGGAGUAGGUAAAAUAAGAAAAUCCCAAAUCUGAGUAUAAUCAACUCUUUGCAAUUGUUGUCUAUUAAUAGCUUCUUCUACCUUGCAUAAGGCCAGUUCAGCCUCUUCUGUCAAAACACGAGGAGAACGUGGGUUUGAGUCUCCUCUCAAAAUAUCAAAUAAUGAUUUAAGUUCUGCAGUAGUGAGUUUCAGAAAAGGACGAAUCCAAUUAAUAUCUCCCAAAAGUUUUUGAAAAUCAUUUAAAGUCUGUAAAUGAUCAAUCCAUAAUUUUAAACUUUGAUGGGUAAUAGCUUGAGUACUUAUAAUUCUAUCCAAAUAAUUAAAAGGAGGGGAUUGCUGAAUUUUAUCUGGGGCAAUUAUUAGACCAAAAUUUUGUAAAGAUUGUGUCAACCUCAAUAAAAUAUGAUGAAGCAAUUGGACGUUUUCAUGAACAAUUAAUAUGUCAUCCAUAUGAUGGAUAAUAUAGGCAUCUUUAUAUUUAUCUCUUGUUGGUUGUACUUCCAAAUGCAACAUAUUUAUGACAGAGAGUAGGGCUAUUUUUCGUACCUUGAGGCAAUACCUUCCACUGAAACCGUUGGAAUGAUUGUUUCAAAUUGACAGAGGGAAGGCUAAAAGCAAAUCUUUUAUAAUCAUCAGGAUGUAAUGGAAUAGUAAAAAAUCAGUCUUGUAAGUCUAUUACCAUAACAUGAAAUCCUUUAGGGACAGCUAGUGGAGAAGGGAAUUCUGGUUGUAGAGAACCCAUAUCUUCUUCCCCUGUAGCAUUUAUAGCUCUUAGAUCUUGUAAUAAUUUCCAUUUACCUGAUUUCUUUUUAAUAACGAAUAUAGGAGUAUUCCAUGGACAAUUGGAUGGCUCUGUGUGUUUUAAUUCAAGUUGUUCUUGAAUGAACAAAUAUGCCCUGUGAUUUUUCUAUUGUUAGGAGCCAUUGUUCUACCCAUACAGGCUCAUCAUUUUUCCAAAUCAUUUAAUCUGCUGUUUCAACAAUGGCCCCAAUUAAAAAUCCUGUUGAGCCUCUUCUACAAGGACAGUACAGAGACACACUCCCAUUUUAAACAUUAUAUCUUGACCCCAUAGAGUAAAAGGAAGAGAAGAAAUCACAUAUGGCUGAAAAGUUCCUGAAUUCUUAUUAUCAGUCCAUUUAAGUAUUUGAGUGCUUUUUGCUAUAUUAGUAGCAGUUCCAAGUCCCCUAAGUACUGAGGGAAUCACCGUUGUAGGCCAGGUUGAGGGCCAAUCUUUUCCUGCUAUACAAGUAACAUCUGCUCCUGUGACCAAGAAACCUCCAAUUGUUUUUCCUUGAAUCUCUAGUUUUUUCAUAGGACAAGAGUUUUGAAUUUUUUGAACCCAAAAUGCCAUAUCAUUAGAACCAAAACCUCUAGUUUGUCUUUGAUCUUCUGAAAUAGCUCAAUUUCCUAUUGAUAAACAGGGAAGUAACAAGAUCUGAGCAAUCUUUUGCCCUUUAUGAAUAAUCAAAGUUUUUUGAAAUGAAGGCUCUACUAAAAUCUUAAUUUCUCCAGUAUAAUCAGAAUCAAUAACUCCAGGAAUAACCUUAAUCCCUUGUAAAGAAGUAGAGCGGCUUCCUAUAAUAAAGCCAAGAGACCCUUUAGGUAAAGGCCCAUGUAUUUUAGUAGGUAUAGCUAAAACAGGAGAAUCUAAAGGAAUAACUACUGAUUCUGAAGAUGCCAAAUCUAACCCUGCUGAAUCCGGGGUGGCUCUCAAUAAAGCCCUUAUAGUAUAUCCUGUUGAAAAGGAUUGGUGAUGGCCUCUAUUACUGGAAGGGCCCGAGGCUGGCCUAUUACCAGUUUCCCGGUUUUGUAGGUUGGGAGUUAUCUGUAAAUUAUUAGAAUUAACUGGGGAAUUCUGAGGAACAGUUGGCAUUGGGCCACCUUCUAAAGGUCUCCCAUUUUUAUGAAAUUUAGAGCGACACUCCUUUGCCCAGUGGAAUCCCUUAUUACAACGCGGGCAUGGAGUUUGGGGUCUAGACAUCUGAUUGGGAAGUGCGAUUUCUCUAGUUUGAAAAUUUCUAUUGGGGCAAACUUUACAAAAUGACCCAUCUGUCCACAAGAAAAACAACCCCGAUUUCCUUUUCUUUGCCCUCUGUUUCGAAGCCCUUUAAGAAACUGAGCAUUUGUUGGUCCCUGUAAUGCUGCUGCUAUGGCUACACCUUGUAAAUACGAGGGUGGCAUGUCAGCACAAACCUUAAUGAAGUCAGAUAAACCUCCUGUCGUUCUAAUAGGUCUCAGAAGAGUCUGACAUGCAGUGUUUGCAUUCUCGAAAGCCAAUUGUUUAAUUAUGAUUUGUGCAGCUUCAUUAUUAGUUGUAAUUUUUCCCACCAAAUCUUUUAAUCAGGAUAAAAAUGCUUCAAAAGGUUCUUCAGGCUUCUGUUUUAUGGUACUUAAGCCAGAAGCUUUAAUUUCCAUAUUUUCUAACUGUCUCCAAGCAUUAACUGCUAAAUCUGAACAUUGGACCAAAGCAGGACGAGGCAAGUGUAACUGAUCACUUGGCAGAGCCCAAUCAUUUUCUCCCAAUAACAUAUCAAGAGUGACUUCACUGUUUACAGAUUUAUUAUAUCGAGAGCGCUCUUUAGCUCUAUCUUUACAGUCUGUUUUCCAUAACAGGAAUGUCCCUCCGGGGAGACAAGAUUUUGCAGUAGCAAACCGGUCAUAUGGGGUCAUCCAUCUACUGGCAAUGGUAUCUACUAAUUGUAAAGAAUAAGGAGAAGCUGGCCCGUAAUCAUGAACAGAUUGUUUUAAUUCUUUUAAAGUUUUUAAAGGCAGGGGUUCCCAUUGAGGCAGAUACUGUUCCUCGUCUCUAUCAAUAAAAGGGAAAGGGAAAGUAAAACCGAAGUCUCCAGAUUGUAGAGCCUCUUUCUUGGCUCCUUCAAAUCCUCCAUUUUGCGAGGGAGGAGGUAGGGUAAUUUUUAUUUUAGAACCUGUUUUAUCUUUGGUAGGAGAUUUUUAAAAAGGUUUAUAAGGCCCUGUGCCUAGAAAGGCAGGGAAUUCUUCAUUAUAAUAUUUAGCAGUUGCCUUUUCUAUAUCAUCUUCAUCUUGUGGGCUGAGUUGCUUCUUAUCGUCGUCAUCGUUUAUAACAUAAACAUUGUCUUUUGCUUUUUGUUUUAAAGGAGUUUCCUCAGUCAGAGCUGAAAGCUUAGUGGAACUGAUUUUAGUUUUUAAAGUUUCAGUCUCAUGAGCCGGAUCUAACAUCUCUCUUAAUAAGGGCCAUAACGCUAUAGUAUCUACAGGCAUAUUUUCUGGUCCAUGAUAAGAAUAAUAAGCCCUUAAACCUUCUCCUAUCUUUGCCAGAGUUUUUAAAUCUAAGGUCCCUUCUUCAGAGAACCAAGGGCAAGAUUCCUGAAUAAAAUGAAAAAACCUCGUUAGUUGUGAAGCAGAGACCUGAAUUCCCUUUUUUGUAAGCAUAUGUUUAACAAUAUCAAUGAACACUUCUCGCUUCUUAGAUUCUGUGCUACCCAUUUUUCUCUUACCUAAUUUCCCACUCUCACCUGCUUUAUUAACAGGGGGCUCGUGAAACCCACGGGUAAUGACCUAUCCACUCUGAGAAUGGGGGCUAAAGCCAAGGGGGCUUACCUACAGGUCACUGUUUCAGGUACCAAAUACCGGGGUCCUGUCCCAGACGGAUCCAGGGGGUCUUGAAGGUUGAGUGGUGUCGGCACAAGGAAUGAGACAAGGAGUCGUUCCCUUGGAGCAAUCUCCAGAGAGAGAGAGCUCUAAUGCAGCUUUCUCUGGGUCAUCUUUUAUUACAAUUUUUCUCAUCAUUAUGAAUUCAGAAUCAUUAAUAAAAUACGUCAUUGAUUUUACAACUUCCAGAUUUUUCCCAAGAUGUGACAUUCCCUUUGCAAUCAUUAUGGGUAUAUAAAAAUGCAUCAUCAAUUUACAUUUUCCCAGGAUGUGACAUUUCCUUAGCAAUCAUUAGGGGUACAAGAUCAUUAAUAAAAUGUGUCACUAAUUUGCAUUUUUCUGAUUUUCCCAAGAUGUACUAUUUUCUUAUUAACAGAUGCCAAACUAUGUAACCAGACUCUAAGUCUCCCAACCUAUCAUUAACCUUUAAGUUUAAAGUACACCUGUACUUUAUUUCUAAUCAAAGAUCCCCAUCUAAAGGAAGUCCCCUUAAAUCUUCUACUUAAAAUAUCCUAAAGUCUAUAAACU